GUACCGUGAGGGAAAGAUGAAAAGAACUUUGAAAAGAGAGUUAAACAGUACGUGAAAUUGUUGAAAGGGAAACGAUUGAAGUCAGUCAUACCAACGGGAAAUCAACCUUUUGAGCUCGGUCUUGUGGGUUUUGAAGAGUUUCAAAGCCUUCGGAUUCGCGGGAUUGGGAUCUCUUGGUGUACUUUUUCGUACGGUUAGUCAACAUCGGUUUUGAAUGUCAUAAAAUGACUGGAGGAAUGUAGCUUCGAUCUCGUAUUGAAGUGUUAUAGCCUUUGGUAGAUGUGAUGUUUGAGACCGAGGAUUGCAACGGAUACCCUUCAGGGCUAUUCGUCUGAUCUCUGAUACGUUGCCUUGAUGUUGAAAGCUUGCUUAUGAUGUUAGGGUAUUACGGUCAAAAGGUUAGAACGAAUUACAUUCGUUAAGG
rnacentral:rRNA from 1 species